UGGGCAACCUGCCCUCAGCUCUGGGAUAACUCCAAGAAAUUGAUGCUAAUACCGGAUGUGACCGCUGACCGCAUGGUCUGGUGAUGGAAAGAUUCAUCGGCUGAGGAUGGGCCCGCGGCCUAUCAGCUUGUUGGUGGGGUAAUGGCACACCAAGGCGACGACGGGUAGCCGGCCUGAGAGGGUGACCCGGCCACACUGGGACUGAGACACGGCCCAGAUCCGUAACGGGG
rnacentral:rRNA from 1 species